GUGCUCACUUUGACAGCACAUAUACUAAAAUUGAAACAACACAGAGAAGAUUAACAUGGCCCCUGCACAAGAAUGACAUGCAAAUUCAUGAAGUGUUCCAUAUUUAA